CACAGGUUAUCUCUGAUCUUGAAAUCCAUAUGUUUUUAGAUGUUCAACAAUCCUAUCCUUUAACAUGGUUUCCAUUACUUUCCCCACUACUGAAGUAAGGCUUACUGGCCUAUAGUUGCCCGACUCCUCCCUAUUACCUUUGUUGUAAAUGGGCACAACAUUCGCUAACUUCCAAUCUUCUGGGACUAAUCCUGUUAACAAUGAUUGGUUAAAUAAAUCUGUUAAUGGUUUUGCUAGUACACCACUAAGCUCUUUUAAUAGCUUUGGGUGUAUUCCAUCAGGUC